rnacentral:tRNA from 1 species
GGGGGAUAUGGCGAAAUCGGUAGACGCUACGGACUUGAAUAGGAAAAAAUGGAAGAAUUUUUGUCAAUUAAUUUCAAGUUGAAAAAAGAAUCAAAUAUUCGCUCAACAAAUCAUUCACUCCAUAGUCUGAUAGAUCUUUGCAAGAACUUAUUAAUCGGACGAGAAUAAAGAUAGAGUCCCAUUCUACAUGUCAAUACUGACAGCAAUGAAAUUUAUAGUAAAAGGAAAAUCCGUCGACUUUAAAAAUCGUGAGGGUUCAAGUCCCUCUAUCCCCA